GUAAGGAAUAUUGGACAAUGGACGCAAGUCUGAUCCAGCCAUGCCGCGUGAAGGAUUAAGGUCCUCUGGAUUGUAAACUUCUUUUAUAAGGGACGAAAAAAGGCUUUUCUAAGUCGUCUGACGGUACCUUAUGAAUAAGCACCGGCUAACUCCGUGCCAGCAGCCGCGGUAAUACGGAGGGUGCAAGCGUUAUCCGGAUUCACUGGGUUUAAAGGGUGCGUAGGCGGGCAGGUAAGUCAGUGGUGAAAUCCUAGAGCUUAACUCUAGAACUGCCAUUGAUACUAUCUGUCUUGAAUAUUGUGGAGGUAAGCGGAAUAUGUCAUGUAGCGGUGAAAUGCUUAGAUAUGACAUAGAACACCUAUUGCGAAGGCAGCUUACUACGCAUAUAUUGACGCUGAGGCACGAAAGCGUGGGGAUCAAACAGGAUUAGAAACCCUAGUAGUCC
rnacentral:rRNA from 1 species